ACCACCAGUCAGUAGCCCAGAUAAAACGUCGGGUCUCCUCAACCGCUUGAGGGUGGGCCGCUUGAGGGGCCCACCACCCGACAGGACAUGGGGGAGGGGGGCCUCACGAACUCUUGCCUGCUUCCCUUGCUCCACGCCCCAGAGACCCACACGUCCGCCCAAGGCCCGCGAACUUGAGAGCACGCGGGAGGCUCUGCCCGCAGGGACUGUCUCCCACCCGAGGAUACAGCUGUUCCGCCAUGGUGGUGCAGCUCCGAGCCCUUGGCUCAACCACAGCCACAGCUCCCGCCGGCGGGAAACGGAUUCGCUCACUCCCAGGUCGCGGGUCGUCUCCCACGGCAACCGAGGCGACGCGCUACGGCGGCGGACGAGGGCCAAACCACUGCGAGUCCGGAAGGGAGUGACGUAAGGGAAACUGGAUGUAGGACGGAAGUGAAAGGUGCGAGCUUGGUUGUCUGUGUGCACCAGGGAACUUUCCAAUCUCUCCUUUGUCACUGGUAUACUGACUGACCCAGGACCGUUUGUUUUACCGCUCUAAGCAAGAGUUUUUCCGCUUGGAACGUGAGAAAAAUACCUCUUGUUGUCUAGCACUGGAACUCAAUGGUAGCUCACUUUCCUAGCCUGGGUGGUGGUGUGAACUAAACGCUUGAAAAGAAGCCAUGUCUGCAGAGACUGCUUGGCUGAUCAGCAUUUCUGUAAUUUGGAGAGAUUGGAAUGUUGCAGGUCCAGAGACUAAUUACCUUAUCUUGGCCUAGUUCUAGCCCUCUGGAACAGCCCUUUCUUACCCACUUCGGAAUCGGAAUUAUCACCUUGUGACUUAAUGGAUGGAAACCUUUUCGAAUCGGUUAAGUUAGCAGACCACUAGCUUCCACCAAUCUAAAAGCUAAGAAUUGUCAUCAGAUAGCAUCUUGAUCCUAUAGGAAAGCUUCCCCCAUAUUGACAUACCUGCCUCUCUGAAUGUAUUUUAAACUUGCCUUGAUUUGUGGCUUUCAUUGCUCUGUAGAAUUAUAAAACUUCAUGAAAGUGUUCCCACAUUGGAACAUGGAGUUUGGGGUACCCAGGCCAUGGUCACUCAAAAUAGCUCCAGAAUAAACUAUCACUCAUUCCCUUUAA